ensembl:lncRNA
UGUGAUCCAGCUUUGCUCCCUGAGCCCAACCACGUCAUGUUGAACCACCUUUACGCACUGUCCAUCAAGGAUGGAGUGAUGGUGCUCAGCGCGACCCACCGGUACAAGAAAAAAUAUGUCACUACCUUGUUGUACAAGCCCAUAUGAAGAGCUGGGAGCUACCCAUGGGCUGCAGCCCCAGGCUCCACCCGUGCAUGCUUCCCACUAGAAGGAAUGGACUGCAGAUUUCUCACUUCACACUCUUCAUAAGACAUUUCAUACCCGCCCUUGUCCUACUUGAAGGUUUGUUCCAGACACAGCAGCUCCUGAAGCACCUCAGUCUAUAACAGUCCUCUUAGUACCCAGUGCUGGGUCUGGGGACCCAUCAAGGCUGAGAAGGGAGUGGGGGAAGCAGGUGCUCUGCAGCCCCCACACCGCAGGGCAGAGGGCAGCCGUGCACGUCUCAGUCAACAGCCUCUGAACUGGUUAUGGAGAUUUUUCUUAAGCCAAAAAUGAACACUAGGCACUUUGCUAGUGAAAAUCUGGGAAGCGGGAAUGGAGGCCGCACAAAAUUUGGGGUCGUAUAUGUUUGUAUUGACUUGUCCCUGCUGAGGCCUGGCCGCAGACCUGGCAGCAAGUUCAGGGUUGGUCCUACCUGUCCUCUGAAAUCAAAGCAAUAGGCCGUCUUCCAGUUCCUGCUCCAGGGAGGCGUAAUUUCUAUAGAAAUUAGAACCUGUCUGGUUUCCAGAUGAAGUUUGACAAUUAUUUCCUACAUUUACGUGCACUAAGUAUUUUUGUUUCUGUUUUUAACCAGAGGUGGCUGUGACUAUACAGCCUUAGGACAAUUUUUAAGUCACCCUGACUAGACUACAGGUCACAUGAACUAUGCUCAGCAAUAAUCUGUUCUCAGAGCAGAGUUGGAAAACCACAGAUGGAUUUAUUAAACUGGGAGUUUGUGUAGCUUUGUACUCAAAUCAUAAUGAGGUGACAAUGUUACCACGAAAACUUUGGAGGCACCUGAUCCUAGCCUGUGCCACCCUGCUUGGGACCUCUGUCCCUUCUCAGCCAGGAAGGCUGUGGCAACUGCUGUUGUUUAUUCUGGAAGAAAAUUAGAACUGGCAGCAGCCUUCUGAAUUUGUGCCAGGAAGACAUCCUUUGGACCAAAGUGAAUCUCUCCCCACGGCUUGGUUUCCAGGUUGAUGCCAGAGACACAGCCAUUAGCGAGGCUCCUGUCCCUGAGGGGGCGGAGGCUGCCAUCAUGCCCUGUGCUCCUGCUGGGAGACAGAGGAACAAGCCCCCUGGCUUCUGGUAUUUAUUUGGUAAACCUGCGUCCGGGAUACCCCUUUUGUUACUGUUUUCAAAACACUGAAUUACUGUCACUUUGAUGUACAGGUUUCAAUAAAGCUUAUAAAGAUAAUGGACGUGCCCUUGGAGGAAGCUUUGAUUUCAUGCAGUCAUUUGGAGAAGAGACCAGAAUUCUCCCCAAGGUUUCUCAAGGGCAGUGCUUUGCAACCUUUGUCAUGUCUCCACACACAGUGCAGAUGGUGCCCUCCCUGUGGCACUCUGGGCUGAGUGCGCAUGGCUGAGGGCCGGGCCCUGACCCACCUAUUCUGCACACAGAGUUGAGGAGGCUGUAAAAUUGAAAAGUGACACGGGAGCUGAGGAGAGGCAGCGGCGAAGGUCCUAGUGUGGGCAGAUUGGCUGCAGCCCUGUGUCAGAGGUCUGGCUGCUGCUUGCUCACUGAUAAGCACCACAGGGGAGCCUGGGAUUCUGACACCCACUUGGAUGACACCAGGAUGUUUUGGAGUCAGCCUUUCUCACCAGGUAAAAGGGUCUGUCCCUUCUACCAAAAAUUGGAAGUUAUAAUUGCUUCAUCCCAGGCAUCAGGAAACCUUUGAAUAAAAUUGAGAAGGAA